rnacentral:rRNA from 1 species
GAAUAUUGGUCAAUGGACGAAAGUCUGAACCAGCCAUGCCGCGUGGAGGAUGAAGGUCCUCUGGAUUGUAAACUUCUUUUAUCUGGGACGAAAAAAGGCUUUUCUAAGUCGUCUGACGGUACCAGAUGCAUAAGCACCGGCUAACUCCGUUCCAGCACCCGCGGUAAUACGGAGGGUGCAAGCGUUAUCCGGAUUCACUGGGUUUAAAGGGUGCGUAGGUGGGUUGGUAAGUCAGUGGUGAAAUCCCCAAGCUUAACUUGGGAACUGCCAUUGAUACUAUCAGUCUUGAAUACCGUGGAGAUCAGCGGAAUAUGUCAUGUAGCGGUGAAAUGCUUAGAUAUGACAUAGAACACCAAUUGCGAAGGCAGCUGGCUACACGAAUAUUGACACUGAGGCACGAAAGCGUGGGGAUCAAACAGG